rnacentral:rRNA from 1 species
GUGGGGAAUCUUAGACAAUGGGGGAAACCCUGAUCUAGCCAUGCCGCGUGAUCGAUGAAGGCCUUAGGGUUGUAAAGAUCUUUCGCUGGGGAAGAUAAUGACUGUACCCAGUAAAGAAGCCCCGGCUAACUCCGUGCCAGCAGCCGCGGUAAUACGGAGGGGGCUAGCGUUAUUCGGAAUUACUGGGCGUAAAGCGCACGUAGGCGGACCAGAAAGUUGGGGGUGAAAUCCCGGGGCUCAACCUCGGAACUGCCUUCAAAACUCCUGGUCUUGAGUUCGAGAGAGGUGAGUGGAAUUCCGAGUGUAGAGGUGAAAUUCGUAGAUAUUCGGAGGAACACCAGUGGCGAAGGCGGCUCACUGGCUCGAUACUGACGCUGAGGUGCGAAAGCGUGGGGAGCAAACAGGAUUAGAUACCCGGGUAGUCC